rnacentral:rRNA from 1 species
UACGGGGGGGGCAAGCGUUGUUCGGAAUUACUGGGCGUAAAGCGUGCGCAGGCGGUUAUGUAAGACAGAUGUGAAAUGCCCGGGCUUAACCUGGGAACUGCAUUUGUGACUGCAUGGCUAGAGUUUGGCAGAGGGGGGUGAGAAUUCCACGGUGUAGCAGUGAAAUGCGUAGAUAUGUGGAGGAACACCGAUGGCGAAGGCAGGUCUCUGGGCAUUAACUGACGCUGAGGAGCGAAAGCAUGGGGAGCGAACGAGG